rnacentral:tRNA from 1 species
UGCGGGGAUAGCUCAGUUGGGAGAGCGUCAGACUGAAGAUCUGAAGGUCACGUGUUCGAUCCACGUUCACCGCAUAUUUUUUUCAUUGCUUGAUGUUUUCGUAUUUGCUGGAUUGUUGGGUCUGGUCUUUGAUUGUCUCUACCAAAAAAGAAAAGAAAAAUAAAAUACUGUUCGACCAAAAGCGGGGAUAGCUCAGUUGGGAGAGCGUCAGACUGAAGAUCUGAAGGUCACGUGUUCGAUCCACGUUCACCGCAU